UUUAUACUUCAUGUAGACCUCCAUAAUGCAUUCAGAUUGACCCGCGUACAAUUUUAUAUAAUUUCAUUUCAAGAUAAAAGAGGAAAUAAAAAGGAGGAGAAAUUGGGUGAUUUUUAAAUUGCAAGAUACUUUAAUCCCAUCUACUUUUUUGGCAAAAUAAUGCAAGCGCCACCUAUUUAGUGACGUGGCGCACUGUGAUUUGCUGACAGGAUGAAAUGGGGGUGAAUCUUAGCCCUCUUUAAGUGAACCAAAAAACAUGAAAGUAAUGGUAAAAUAAUUAAGACUGCUAGUGGCAUUUUUCUAUUUCUUG
rnacentral:misc_RNA from 1 species